CAAGUCGUGGGGCAGCAGGUCCCGCAGCAAUGCGGGAUGCUGGCGACCGGCAAACGGGUGCGGAACACGUACGCAACUUUCCUUCAAGCGGGGAAUAGCCCAGGGAAACUUGGAUUAAUACCCCAUAAAAUGAUAGGGUGGCAUCACUUAAUUAUUAAAGCUCCGGCACUUGAAGAUGGGCGUGCGCCUGAUUAGGUAGUUGGCGGGGUAACGGCCCACCAAGCCUACGAUCAGUAACUGGUGUGAGAGCACGACCAGUCACACGGGCACUGAGACACGGGCCCGACUCCUACGGGAGGCAGCAGUAAGGAAUAUUGGGCAAUGGAGGCAACUCUGACCCAGCCAUGCCGCGUGGAGGAUGAAGGCCCUCUGGAUUGUAAACUUCUUUUAUCUGGGAAGAAACCCACGGUUUCUACUGUGGUUGACGGUACCAGAUGAAUAAGCACCGGCUAACUCCGUGCCAGCAGCCGCGGUAAUACGGAGGGUGCAAGCGUUAUCCGGAUUCACUGGGUUUAAAGGGUGCGUAGGUGGGUAGGUAAGUCAGUGGUGAAAUCCCCGAGCUUAACUUGGGAACUGCCGUUGAUACUAUCUAUCUUGAAUAUCGAGUAGGUAAGCGGAAUAUGUCAUGUAGCGGUGAAAUGCUUAGAUAUGACAUAGAACACCAAUUGCGAAGGCAGCUUACUUCAAGAUUAUUGACACUGAGGCACGAAAGCGUGGGGAUCAACAGGAUUAGAUACCCUGGUAGUCCACGCCCUAAACGAUGGAUACUCGACAUCAGCGAUAUACUGUUGGUGUCUGA
rnacentral:rRNA from 1 species